UACGUAGGGGGCAAGCGUUGUCCGGAUUUAUUGGGCGUAAAGAGCGUGUAGGCGGCUUUACAGGUCCGUUGUGAAAACUCGGGGCUCAACCCCGAGACGUCGGUGGAAACCACCUGGCUAGAGUCCGGAAGAGGAGAGUGGAAUUCCUGGUGUAGCGGUGAAAUGCGCAGAUAUCAGGAAGAAUAUCCGUGGCGAAGGCGGCUCUCUGGGACGGUACUGACGCUGAGACGCGAAAGCGUGGGGAGCGAACAGG
rnacentral:rRNA from 1 species